rnacentral:rRNA from 1 species
GAUGAACGCUAGCGGCAGGCUUAAUACAUGCAAGUCGAACGGUAACAGGUCUUCGGACGCUGACGAGUGGCGCACGGGUGAGGAACACGUACACAAUCUACCUUAUACUGGAGAAUAGCCCCGGGAAACUGGGAUUAAUACUCCAUAGUCUUUAAUGAUCACAUGAGAAAUAAAGUAAAGCUUCGGCGGUAUAAGAUGAGUGUGCGUCCCAUUAGAUUGUUGGUGAGGUAACGGCUCACCAAGUCGACGAUGGGUAGCUGGCGUGAGAGCGCGACCAGCCACACUGGCACUGAGACACGGGCCAGACUCCUACGGGAGGCAGCAGUAGGGAAUAUUGGUCAAUGGACGAAAGUCUGAACCAGCCAUGCCGCGUGGAGGAUGACUGCCCUCUGGGUUGUAAACUCCUUUAUAUGGGAAGAAACCUCUGGAUUCACUCCAGAGCUGACGGUAUCAUAUGAAUAAGCACCGGCUAACU